UACGGGGGGGGCAAGCGUUGUUCGGAAUUACUGGGCGUAAAGGGCUCGUAGGCGGCCAACUAAGUCAGACGUGAAAUCCCCAGGCUCAACCUGGGAACUGCGUCUGAUACUGGAUGGCUUGAAUCCGGGAGAGGGAUGCAGAAUUCCAAGUGUAGCGGUGAAAUGCGUAGAUAUCUGGAGGAAUACCGGUGGCGAAGGCGGCAUCCUGGACCGGCAUUGACGCUGAGGAGCGAAAGCCAGGGGAGCAAACGGG
rnacentral:rRNA from 1 species